UACGAAAGGUGCAAGCGUUACUCGGAAUCACUGGGCGUAAAGCGCACGUAGGCGGACUUACAGGUCAAUUGUGAAAUACCUAGGCUCAACCCAGGAACUGCAGUUGAAACCGUUUGUCUUGAAUACUUGAGAGGGUGGGGGAAUACCUGGUGGAGAAGUGAAAUUCGUAGAGAUCAGGUGGAACACCGGAGGCGAAGGCGCCUGCCUGGCAAUGUAUUGACGCUGAGGUGCGAAAGUGCGGGGAGCAAACAGG
rnacentral:rRNA from 1 species